UGGGUAUUGUGCACUUAGGUUUUGAUCCAGCCGUGUCCCCCCACUUCCAUGUGUUUUUGUUGACGGACCAACUAAAUGGAUUUGGUCUCCCGGGUGUGGACGUCUGUUCAUAUGUCUAUUCAUCGGAAACCGGGAGGUGGGUUCAUAAGGAGAAGAAAUGGUACUGGGAUAUUGAUCUAGUUCGUGUUCACUCAGCUGCAUAUCUUAAUGGUUGUCUGCAUUUUUUCGCCGAAAUCAAUCACAAUACCCUGUGUCUAGCUGCCGACAAGGAGGCGGGAACAAUGAUAUACUCUCAUGUUCCUCCUCUGAAUGAUGGUUUUAUGCAGAAGUCACAGGGCUGCUUGUAUUAUGCUGGUUUUGGAAGAGAUGACAAUGAUGAUAAUGUAGUUCGACUGCUAGUUUAUGUUCUCGAAGACUAUAAUAGUAAAGAAUGGAUACUGAAGCAUAGCAUUGAAAGUUCACAUCUAUGUGGAGGGCGACAUGAUGUAGACAUUGAGGAGGACUUUUGUUGGAUUGCAAUUCAUCCGGAAUGUAACUUGAUCUUCUUCACCUUGGGCUGGGAUAGAACAUUCAUGUGCUAUGAUUCAGGGUGGACACGGUCCGGGCCGGUCCGGUCCCGGUCCGAGCCGCCGUUUGGACCGGACGCCGGCGGUCCGGGCCGGACCGGACCGAGCUGUGCAACGGUCCUGAUUACAGGGACCGGACCGGCUGGCAUGAAGCUCGGUGCGGACCGGCGGUCCUGGCGGUCUUGGUGCCGUCCAAUCACUGCCAUGUGGGCCUAGGAAAUCGGAGUGCUGGUCGGAGUAGCAACACGGUGGCCGGAGCCGGAGAAGAAGCACCUGAUGCACGGUGGCGCGAGAGAAAGGCACGGGAGAGAGAGGGAGCAGCAUGGCGCGAGGCAGAGGCGUGGUGGCGCGAGGGGACGACGGCGAGAGGUAGAGGCGCGGCGGCGCGAGGUUGUGCUAGGAGAGGAAGUCGAGGAAGACCGCGGCGCAGGGGAGGAAGAGGGGCUGCGCAGGGGAGGAAGAGGGACGGCGCGUGCGAGGAAGAGGAGGCAGUGGCAGUUCGCUAGGUCACGCACGCCCCUCUUAUUAGCUUUAUUGGGCUGGGCUCUUCUGAUUAGCUUUAUUGGGCUGGGCCUUCGGUCCUCCGAGCCGGCCGAGCUUUAACCGGACCGGACCGACCGAAUUUCGGUCUCGUUUUCACGGACCGGACCGGCCAUAUUAUCUAGCGAGCCAGGCCCGUACGGUCCGGUCCAUAACGGGCCGCGGUCCAGGCCAGAAGCCCGCUCGUCCCGUCCACCCUGAGCUAUGAUAUGGAUCGCCGGCAACUCAAAGUGAUAUGCAAUCUUGAAAAUUGCGCUCCAGCAUAUCUGCCACAUGUGCCGCUAUAUGAAGAGUUACAAUCGUUGCACAAGUGAUGUCAAUUAUUUGUGCUAUUGCCUAUGGAGCAUCGGGUUUGGUACGUCUGCUGCAUUUGGUUUGGUCUGUGAUUGAAUGUUCUGAUGUUUUCUAUUCUUUUCAGUUUGGAGCAAUGGUGAGAUUCGUUCUGGGGCCAUUGUGGCUGAUUUCUCUCAGAUGGCUUAUUCAAAUGUUCAAUGUACUUUCUGUUGUAUGUACUUAUUUGUUAUACCAAUGGUUCUGGACACCAGAGGAUGUGAUACACUUUGGCUGAUUACAUUGUCACUUCUUUUGGUGCUAUUUACUUGUCUGAUUCAAAUAGCUUAUGCUGUUAGCAUAACAUCAC
rnacentral:lncRNA from 1 species